UUCCCUUUUAACGAAUGUGACCUACCGAAUUAAACUAUUUACCGGAUUUGUAAAAACAUAAGCAACACGAUGGGUACCACAUGUGGAGCAGGAUCUGCGUACCCUUCCGAAUUACCUGAGAUCACCCCACUUUUGGGUGGGGUUCGUGUUGCUUAGUAUGUAGUUAUCUAUGUUGUGUCUUCUUUACUAUUAUUUGUCUGUUGGUCCGUUAUUUUUUAG
rnacentral:lncRNA from 1 species